GACACUUUUCUCCAACCAUUCCAACCUGCUGCAGUUCUUGUUUUAGGGCCCAGUGGUAUUUUGUUUUUGGAUGAAACACCUAAUCAUUAAUUUUCUUCUUUUUUCUCUCUCUCUCUCAAAGCAACCCUCAACUCAAAGAAAGAUGGAAAUUGUUCUGCUGGGCCUUCCCCACUUAAGGAGGACCCCUCAUGGCAUUCCAAAACUGCUGAGUCCCUUGAUGAGGAGGCUUCAAUCAAUGGAGGACUGGAACUUGGCGUUGUACUAAUUGAAGAUGGAGAAGACAUGGUGGAACAUCAGUUGUUCUUGAAGAACAAAUCAUUUUGCAUGAUAUGAAGGACUUUCCCCAUGCCAUUGCUCUGCUGAUGGCUCUGCUGUCUGCAACCAACAUGGACUAUACCAAAGGCCUGAGCUACACUGAAGUCAUUCAAAGAUCUUCAUGGACAUUGAACUUAAUGAAAGUAACCUGUGAAGGAAGGAGCCUUUGCCCAACAUAUUAUUUUUUCCCCUGAGAAUAAUGGGAGUAAGGUUGCAAUGGAUGCAAGAAAAGUCCUUCCUGAAAUGAUUUUUUGUUUGGAAAAUAAAGGAACUGUGGUUAAAA